rnacentral:rRNA from 1 species
UGCCAGCCGCCGCGGUAAUACGAAGGGUGCUAGCGUUGUUCGGAAUUACUGGGCGUAAAGAGCAUGUAGGCGGAUGAAUUAGUCAGAGGUGAAAGUUUGCGGCUCAACCGUAAAAUUGCCUUUGAUACUGGUUGUCUUGAAUCAUUGUGAAGUGGUUAGAAUAUGUAGUGUAGCGGUGAAAUGCAUAGAGAUUACAUAGAAUACCAAUUGCGAAGCCAGAUCACUAACAAUGUAUUGACGCUGAGGGACGAAAGCGUGGGGAGCGAACAGGAUUAGAUA